rnacentral:pre_miRNA from 14 species
UUUUUGAAUCACUUUUUAUCUAUAAUUUGAAGCUCUCACUGAAAGACCCCCCAGAGUGGGGAGACCCUCACUCAAGUCUCGGGAUGACUCGACCCCCCAAGAACACACGUAAGACC